rnacentral:rRNA from 1 species
UCAAGAAACUUCCACAAUGGGCGAAAGCCUGAUGGAGCGACGUCGCGUGAUGGACGAAGUGCUUCGGCACGUAAACAUCUUUUAUGUGGGAUGAAAUUAUUGACAGUACCACAUGAAUAAGGGGCUCCUAACUCUGUGCCAGCAGGAGCGGUAAUACAGAGGCCCCAAGCGUUAUCCGGAAUCACUGGGCGUAAAGGGUGUCGAGGCGGUUGUAUUAGUCGUUCGUAAAAUCUACGAGCUUAACUUGUAGGCGGCGAACGAAACGGUACGACUUGAGGUUUGGAGAGGUGCGUGGAACUCACGGUGUAGGGGUGAAAUCCGUCGAUAUCGUGGGGAACACCAAAGGCGAAGGCAGCGCACUGGCCAAAAUCUGACGCUCACACACGAAAGCUAGGGUAGCAAACAGGAUUAGAUACCCAAGUAGUGCCUGAGCGGGCUGGCAAGGCGCAU